GCGGCCGCCCAAGCCCGGCUCCCACGUCCCGCUCUCGGCUCCCCGGAGGUCGGAGACUUUGAGGUAUCUCCACGUCAAACCUUCAUGAGGCGACACCGCAAGUAGCUGCUGAGGACGUAGCGGAUCCUCUCCAUCUCCAUUUGGUGGAUGCUGACCUUCAGGUCCUCCCUUUUGGCUCUCCUGAGAUUUUCUUCCUAUUAAAUGAGAAAUUAAGGUUUAUAAAAAACAUGAUGUUCAACCAUCAUCACCGGCAACGUUGAGGACCCAGACUAUGUUUCAGUCCAAGGAAAACAAAAAUAUCAUGUUUUAUGCUUGAAAUGGCUACAUCUGGUUUCUGGUCACACAGUGGCAUGAUAAUGGCUCACUGCAUUCUUGACCUCCAAGGCUUAAGUGAUCCUCCUGCCUCAGC